GCCAGACUCCUACGGGAGGCAGCAGUGGGGGAUAUUGCACAAUGGGGGGAACCCUGAUGCAGCGACGCCGCGUGGGUGAAGAAGCGCCUCGGCGCGUAAAGCCCUGUCAGCAGGGAAGAAAAUGACGGUACCUGAAGAAGAAGCCCCGGCUAACUACGUGCCAGCAGCCGCGGUAAUACGUAUGGGGCAAGCGUUAUCCGGAUUUACUGGGUGUAAAGGGAGCGUAGGCGGCAGGGCAAGCCUGAUGUGAAAGCCCGGGGCUCAACCCCGGGACUGCAUUGGGAACUGCCCCGCUCGAGUGCCGGAGGGGCAGGCGGAAUUCCUAGUGUAGCGGUGAAAUGCGUAGAUAUUAGGAGGAACACCAGUGGCGAAGGCGGCCUGCUGGACGGUGUACUGACGCUGAGGCUCGAAAGCGUGGGGAGCAAACAGGAUUAGAUACCCCCGUAC
rnacentral:rRNA from 1 species